GUCGCCUGCUUGGUCCUCCAGCCUCUGCCUUCCAGUAGUUGCCGCCGCCUCCGCCGCCUCCUGCUCCGUCGUUUUUGACCGUUGCCGUCAUCUCUUCUGUAGAGUCGCUCGUUCUCGUUGUCCUAUUCGGUCCUUCAUUCAGUGAAGGAGGGGUUAGACUUAGAAGAUUCCAUCAAUGAGAAUGAGAUUAAGCCUAAAAAUAAAAUAAAAACUGUGGCUGAGACAUUAUUGGGAGGAACAGAGACCAGCUCAGGCCUCAUUGUGGCUUGCACGGGUAUGAUUUCUUCGCUGUGCUUUGUUUCUUCUUAAAAGCUCCCCCAACAUAUCAAUUAUAACCCUCAGAGACUAUGCAAAAGCUUCUUUGGCCUCAUUCUUUCAAUUCUAGAAGUCCCUUUUCUUCCAAUGAUAUAUCAUAUAUUUAUCAAGUGGUUUCUUCCUGGGGUAUAUAUAUAUCUUCUGACUUUAAUGUAUCUUCUCUCGGUAUGUGAUGAUCUGUGCGCAAUUCAAAUAAUCAACCGACAUGAAGGACUCUGGUUUAUGGUAGAUGCAUAUUUCCCAUCUUCAAUUCUACAUACAGUCUAAUUUCAUGCCUUAUUAACUGGUCUAGUAUAUUGGUGGCUCUUGGACUGACAAACAACAAGAACUCGGGAACACAAUCAUUUUGAAGUCUGAACUCUCUCUUUAACCCCAUCAGCAAAUGGAAAAAGAUAAUAAGGACCCGGAUGCCCAUCUGGCCUCAUCAAAGCCAGUUUAGUCACAUCCAAUGCCCCCUAGUCCUAUCUCAAACCCCAUACAAAUUUCUCAUUAUAUUUAGCCUUAGCAGCUUCCACUACUUCAACCUCAAUCUUCAUCAUAUCAGGGAAGUGACUGUAAUUGGUUGCCAGCCAUGGAAUGAUGCAAAAUUUGGUUCUAUAUGAGGAAGAAAUUAUGCUUACUUGUGGUUUUCUCAAAUAAAAUUUGGGCAGCUUUAAAGUGGCUAAAAGAAAUCAAGUGGUGAUUGGAAGGCUGAACCAUGCAUGUGAAGCAACGUUGCGAACUCUCUAGCUUGCUUUGUGCUGUAUUUGUUCAUCUUGCUUUUGUAUGCAGUACUUGCUCUAUGUACUAUGAAAUAGAAAUCCAUUGACUAUGGCCAGUGUCAUCUUUUAUCGGACUGAACAAUCAGAAAAUGAAUCCUGAUCUGCAUGCUCUUACCUGUGCGAUUUACAACACUCAUCACUCAAUUUCUCAAGUGAAGCAACUCCACCUGGCUUUUCUCAAAAGGGGUAUUCUGAAUUCUGCACUUACAAUCGGAAACCGCCUUCUUCAGUUGUACUCCAGGUGUGGUAGCAUGGUAGAUGCACGGCAGUUGUUUAUGGAGAUGCCUCAGAGAAAUUGUUUCUCCUGGAGCACAAUGAUUGAAGGUUAUAUGAAGCUAGGUCACAAGUACAAGUCCCUGGAGUUAUUUGAUAUCAUGCCCCAAAAGAGCAAUUACUCCUGGAAUGUGGUUGUUUCAGGAUUUGCGAAGGCUGGUGAACUAGAAAUGGCCCAUCCAUUGUUCAAUGCUAUGCCCAGGAAAAACGAGCUAGUGUGGAAUUCAAUGAUUCAUGGUUAUGUCCGAAACGGGCAACCUGGAAAAGCUUUAAUGCUCUUCAAGAAUUUGAAUUCAGACCCAUCAGAAGCAAGGCAUCGGGAUACAUUCAUUUUGGCAACUGUAAUUAGGGCUUGCACAGAUUUGUUGGCUUUAAGCUGUGGCAAACAAAUCCAUGCUCGCAUUUUCAUUGAUGAUAUUGAACUUGACUCGGUCUUGUGUAGUUCGUUGAUUAAUUUAUAUGGAAAAUGUGGUGAUUUUGUUACUGCAGAUCAUAUUAUGGAUGUUGUGGGAGAGACUGAUGAUUUCUCUCUAUCAGCUAUGAUAUCAGGGUAUGCACAUUCUGGUAGAAUGAAUGAGGCUAGAAGAAUUUUUGAAAGAAAAGUUAAUCCAUGUCAUGUCUUGUGGAAUUCAAUUAUUUCCGGAUAUAUAUCCAAUUGUGAGGAAUUGGAAGCAUUGGCUCUCUUCAACAGAAUGCGUAGAAGUGGGGUUGAGGAAGACCCCUCUACUAUUGCAAACAUUUUGAGUGCUUGCAGUAGCUUGCUCAUUAUUGAGCUUGUCAUACAGAUGCAUGCCCAUGCUACUAAAGCUGGCGUAUCCGAGGACAUUAUUGUUGCUAGUGCUUUGCUUGAUGCAUAUGCAAAAUGUCAAAGUCUUUAUGAAGCUUGCAAAUUGUUCAGUGAGCUCAAAGCUCAUGACACAGUUUUACUUAAUACGAUGAUCACUGUAUAUUCCACUUGUGGAAGAAUUGAUGAUGCUAAAGGGAUUUUCAAGACAAUGUCGAAUAAAACUAUGAUAACAUGGAACUCAAUGGUAGUGGGCCUCUCUCAGAAUGCUUGUCCACAUGAAGCAUUAGAUAUCUUUUGUCAAAUGGUUAAGCUGGACUUAAAAUUGGACAAGUUUAGCAUUGCCAGUGUAAUCAGCUCUUGUGCAAGUACUUCAUCCCUUAAACUCGGUGAGCAAAUAUUUGGUAAAGCUAUUACUAUUGGGCUUGAAUCUGACCAAAUCAUUUCUACUUCCCUUGUUGAUUUUUACUGUAAAUGUGGGUUUGCUGAGAUAGGCCAUAAAAUUUUUGAUGGAAUGAUCAAAACUGAUGAAGUCUCUUGGAAUACAAUGUUGAUGGGAUAUGCUACAAAUGGAUAUGGAUUUGAAGCACUAGCCCUCUUCAGUGAAAUGAGGCUUGCUGGUGUUAGACCUUCUGGUAUCACUUUUAUUGCGGUUCUCUCAGCCUGUGAUCAAAGUGGUCUAGUUGAAGAAGGAAGAAAUUGGUUCAGUAGCAUGAAAUGUGACUAUAAUAUUGAUCCAGGGAUUGAGCAUUACUCUUGCAUGGUGGAUCUUUUAGCCCGUGCUGGUUCCUUUAGGGAAGCAAUGGAUCUUAUGGAAGAGAUGCCUUUUGAGGCUGAUGCAAGCAUGUGGUCAUCAAUAUUGAGAGGCUGUGUAGCCCACGGAAACAAGACUCUUGGCAAGAAGGCUGCUGAACAAAUUAUUGAGCUUGAUCCUGGAAAUUCGAGUGCUUUCAUUCAAUUAUCUAAUAUACUUGCAACUUCUGACGAUUGGGAAGGAUCAGCUCAAGUAAGAAAUUUGAUGAGAGAUAAGCAUGUUCAAAAGAAUCCAGGUUAUAGUUGGGCAGAUUGUUGAAUAAGAAAUUCUGCUGAGGCCCCCAGUUUUAGCCUUUCAGAUGAAAAGGAACGAAUUCAGGGAGAAAAACCCCCGUAUAAGAACAAGCGAUGCUGGUGGAUUCUGUUUCUUGCGCUAUGUUUUGCACUGAUCAAAUGAUCUGAAGACAAUGAAUAGCUCGACUGUAUUUUGAUGGAUUUUCUUUCAAAUACAUGUCAUGGCUUCAGAGUCAAAAAAUGGACCUGAAAAUUUUGAAGAAAGAGGCAAUGAUGCGUUGGGGAUGCAUAUCUGAAGCUAACAAAUAAAGUCAUGGCGGCAAAUUUCUUCAGAUUUUUUAUCUUCCUAAUGCUCUUUGAACCGUGCCAGAUGACUAACCCGACCUGUGAUAAAUCCCAGAAGAUUACAGAGCCAAAGCACCUGGCGUGAAUAAGAAAUGGACAGCAAAGGAGUCAAUAAUUCUUAUUAAUAUAGUUGAAGUUAGCAACAUGCCAGUAAAAACUCAGGUAGAAGCUGUCUUAUUAGCUGCAUUUUAAUGAUGAAAAUAAAACCACUCGAGUUUGAUGAGGUCAUUAUAAUGUGUGGAAGAACAAAACAAAUAUGGCUUUUAUCCCUUGAAUUAGAGACGCAUGCACUAACGGUCUAAGGUUACAAGUAAGGUUACGCCAUUUGAAAUGCACCAAUUCCUUUUUCUUUCUUUUUUUUGGUUGAUUGUGGCGCAAUGACUGAGUUGUAUACCUUGGGAUAUACAGGUGGCCAUAAAUUAUUUCAAGGGAUAUGGAUACGGUCACAUCACAUACAAGCAAGGCUUUACUUGGACUUUGCAUCUGAUAUAUACAUACUUUUUA